rnacentral:SRP_RNA from 1 species
GGGGCGCAUGCGGCGAUCCACUUCUACGCACGUUCGAGGCUCUCUUCGGCGAGGGUGGCGCCCCCCUGCUCGCACCGUGGGACGAGAUGUCGUUCA